rnacentral:rRNA from 1 species
ACUGAACGCUGGCGGCAUGCCUUACACAUGCAAGUCGAACGGUAACAGGUCUUCGGAUGCUGACGAGUGGCGAACGGGUGAGUAAUACAUCGGAACGUGCCUAGUAGUGGGGGAUAACUACUCGAAAGAGUGGCUAAUACCGCAUGAGAUCUACGGAUGAAAGCAGGGGAUCGCAAGACCUUGUGCUACUAGAGCGGCCGAUGGCAGAUUAGGGAGUUGGUGGGAUAAAAGCUUACCAAGCCGACGAUCUGUAGCUGGUCUGAGAGGACGAUCCGCCAAACUGGGACUGAGACACGGCCCAGACUCCUACGGGAGGCAGCAGUGGGGAAUUUUGGACAAUGGGCGCAAGCCUGAUCCAGCAAUGCCGCGUGCAGGAUGAAGGCCUUCGGGUUGUAAACUGCUUUUGUACGGAACGAAAAGCCCCGGGUUAAUACCCUGGGGUCAUGACGGUACCGUAAGAAUAAGCACCGGCUAACUACGUGCCAGCAGCCGCGGUAA